CGCGUAUCGAACCUGCCUCAUACUCGGGAAUAGCCUUGCGAAAGUAAGAUUAAUGCCCGGUGUUUUCAGAGUCCCGCAUGAGGCUUUGAACAAAGAUUUAUCGGUAUGAGAUGGCGAUGCGUCCCAUUAGCUUGUUGGCGGGGUAACGGCCCACCAAGGCAUCGAUGGGUAGGGGUUCUGAGAGGAAGGUCCCCCACAUUGGAACUGAGACACGGUCCAA
rnacentral:rRNA from 1 species